AAAUGACCAGUCUUUCUCUUGUGAGAAGCAUCUACACAAGCGAUUGAUGCACCUUUGGCUGUGGCAAGUCUUGUCGUAUCUCUUCGUAAAUCCUGAAAUAAUUCAAUUGCGAAUAUAUAUUACGCCAUUGCCGUACAAGCGGUUGAUCUUAAACAUUUUCAAUAGACUUACGGACGGUGUUUCCAGAAGGAUUAUAGAUUGACAUGUAAAUCCUGCAUAGGGUAGACUAGCCGUUUUUGAAGAACCAAGUUUGUCAAACCGUCGGCAACAUCUAAUAUGUAACAAAGACUUGAUCCUACAAAAGACGCUCUACUUUCUAGAUAUUCAUCUGUCACAGCAUCAUCAUUUUUUUAUUCUUUCGUGCCGCGCGAUUAUCGAAAGGCGAGCUUCCAUCAAGUAUUUCGAGCAAGGUCGAAUCGAAGAACGAAGAAGAUACAUUUGAAUAUUUUAUUACAAGAGAG